GCACUGGGCCCAGAUGACGGAGGUGGUCAGCUUCAGCCAGAUUUUCAGUGUGGGGAACAGCUGCAUGGGCGCAUCACUGUUCUCUUUCCUCCACCUCUUCAGGACCACGACUGUUAUUAAGCAGACACGCAGUUCCAAAAUAGGAUCACAUUGUUACCUUUCUGAUUGGCCCUGGCUCCUCUGACCCUGAUGACACACUCCCUGCCUCUGGAGUCUGAUACCAAAACAGAAUGGUUCGCCCCCCCAGGAUGAGGCAAUGAGGCAAUGAGGCAUGGAGGCUGAAUUAAUGGCCUGCCACCUAUUGCCUCAUAUAUGAGGGAGAACCAUGGAGAAUCUAGUGCCACUCCCUGACAGCGGCUUCCUGAGCUCCUGCACCCAUUGCAAUUAAAAUGAAUACCUGUAGUGCACAAUUCAUGAUGUAGUGUUCAUUUCAAACUCUAGAUACACAGAGAGCAGUAACUGUUAUAUUUCAUUCAUGUUAUUAUUACACAGUGUUAUAGUUAAAUACAAUGAAUACAAACCAUGUAUGUCUUUUUUUACCCACUUUUUGGCUGCUCCGGCAGGACUCACCACAUCACCAAGUCCCAGCUCUUUUGCAUUGUGGGAUGUGACAAGUCCACUAUAUAGGGUAUAAUAAUUCUAUAGCACUACAAAAUGACAAAUUCGUACAUCAAUAGACACAGGUACCAGGGCCUCUGACACCCAGUCCAAUCUUCACUGGGACAUAGGUAGCAGGGCCUCUGUUACAGGGACAAAAAUGAAGGAUGAAGCUCACUCUGGCGUAACAUAUCUAAUGUUAGAGUUUUCUGUUGGACAGAUGAAAACACAGUGGUCAAACUCACAUUGCUCUCUGCUGCGUGUAUACUCCUGAACUCAUGCAUCACCUACUGACUUCCUCUAUGCUGGCGUUAGCUUUAAAGCUUAACCAUGUUUAAUCAACUUUCUAAUACCAUUGAAACUCAUACACAAUAUUAUAAACACACAUUUCUAUUUUUACCAGUUUAACUUCUCUCUUUCACAGGUUUACAGGUAAUUAAUGAUUUAGCUGUAAAAUGCUCAUUUCCAAAUGUCCUCACAGGUAAGUAUUCAACAUCUCAUUAACUUCCCUUUUUAAACCUCUAUGAAAUAUACUUACAUAAACUAACUUAACAGUAUUAUUUAAUCAAAGUAACAGUCACUAUAAUUAUCCUUUUCAAUGUAGUCUCUGAAACUGUAGUACUGUACACUGAGCAUUUCACAAGAUGACAUACAGUUCAUGCAAUUACUGAACGAAAGAAUACAUCAGAAUAUGGAUGGUCACCUGGAAAUACCUCUCCUCUUUAAGACACGCCCACAACUGCCAGAAAAUUAGCAGCUGGCUCUAAGUGCAGCUGAAUAACCUGAAAUGGAAACUUGAGAAAAAUCCCAAAUUCAAGGAUGGCUAUGUUCAAUUUAUGGAAGGUCCAUCACACAAGAAAGCCAGAGAAAAUUAGGGUUGUGUUUGACUGCUCUGCUAAGUAUGAUGGCAUGGCGCUGAACAAUCACUUACUAACUGGACCUGAUCUCACAAAUGCUCAGACAGUUGUGCUCUACAGCUUCUGCAAGCAUCCAGUCGCAGCCAUCUGUGAUUUAGAAAAAAUGUUCCACAGGUUCCAUGUAAGGAAAGAAGAAAGGGAUUACUUGUGGUUCCUUUGUUGUGAAAUUGGGGAUACAGAUUCAGAGCCAUAAGAAUAUCACAUGACGGUCCAUCUUUUUGGAGCAGCAUCCUCUCCUGGCUGCACCAAUUGCGGAACGAAGUACUUGGCAAGCCAAAAUGAAAAAGAGUAUCCAUCAACUUCAUCAGAAAGAACUUCUACAUUGAUGAUGGCCUCAUCAGUGUAUAAUCUGCAUUCACAGCCAUCAAACUGGUAAGAGAAGCACAAAUUGUGUGUGAAAAAGGGAGAUAGACAAAGUGCUGGCAGACAUUCCCUGCCAAGAGUGUGUUGUGUACCUGGACGAUAUCCUUGUUCAUGGUGAGUCCUUCGAGUCAGCUCUCAGGGCCCUCAGCUCAGGUUUCUGCUGGAAAGGGUGGCAGCAGCAGGACUGAAACUACACCCCCAGAAGUGCUGCUUUUUGAGGCAUGACGUCACAUUCCUACAGUGUCAGCACAAUGAAUCAGAAGGAGCAAAUAGUUAGGGACUGGCCAACCCUCAGCUCUGUGCAGGACCUGAAAGGUUUUCUGGGCCUAGCCUACUACUACGGAAAGAUGGUGAGGGGUUUCUCCUGCAUUGCUGCACCCCUUUCCCCACCUGCUGCAAAAGGGGGGCACUUUCUCGUGGACACAGGAGUGGCAGGCAGAAUUCACCUCACUGUGGAAAGCCCUUGUGGAGGCUCCAGUUUCCAGUUCUUUCCCCACCUGACCCCACUCUGCCUUUUGUUCUUGACACAGAUGCCAGUAGUGUCAGCUCAGGCGGAGAGGGAGUGCUGGCAUUCCACAGCAGGACAUUCAAUAAGGCCGGAUGUCGUUAUUGUGUCACCCGUCAGGAGCUGCUCGCUGUGGUCAGUGCCAUUAGCCAUUUCAAAUAUUACCUGGGCAGCCUCCACUUCACAGUGAGGACUGACCACUCUGCCUUGCAGUGGCUCAUGUCUUUCAGAGAGCCAGAAGGCCAGCUGGCAUGCUGGCUCGAGGAGCUACAGAUAUAUGACUUCACUGUGUUCCACAGACCAGGGGCUCACCAUAGAAAUGCUAAUGUGCUCUCCCACUGCCCCUACAAUGCUGAUGGCUGUCACUAUUGUGAGAGGAAAGAGGCUCAGGAGGGAGAGUGGUUGCAACCAGAUGUGAAAUGUGCAGUUGUGGGCCAAGAUGGGCUAACAACCAGCCAUGCACUGGCAGCGGUGGAUGCUGCAGAGUGGAGGCAUAAACAGGAGGAGGACGUCGACAUCAAACCUGUGCUCACGUUGGUGGUGACACAGCAACGGUCCCCAUGGGAGAAGGUUGCCAUGUUUUCUUGAGCCACAAAGGGACUCUGGUCGAUGUUUGAAGCCCUAUCCCUCUAUGUUGGGUUGCUGCAAAGGGAUUGGAAAGAACCAGCUACAGGGGAGAGAUGGUGGCAGGUGGUGGUGCCCAGGACCUUGGGUGAGAUAUUGCUCCAGGCAGUACAUAGAGCUCCAGGGUGCCAACCUGCAGGAGACACCUGGAGAGAGUGGGGAUUGAUGUUCUCGGGCGGAGGGGAUGUUUAGUAGAUUUGGAGUACCCAAAGUCAUUCACACUGACCAGGGCAGAAACUUGAGUCCUGUGUGUUCGCAGUCAUGUGUGAAAAACUGGGGUCCCACAAGACUCGCACUACACCCCUCCACCCAGUGACGAGCUGGUCGAGAAAUUUAACCGCACACUAGCACAACAACUGGCCAUGGUGACUGCUAAACACCAAUGGGACUGUGAUAACCAUGUCCCCCUUGCGUUGAGUUGUAGCACUAUUUCCUCAUAAUUCAACAGUCUCCCACAGUAGAUGAAUCAGUAAUAAAUAAUCCUUAGUUGCAGCCGAGUCCCUGCCAGUCUGUCUUCUGUUGGAUCACUGUUCUGACCAGCAGUUGUGUUCCAAAGUCAGUCUGUGUAAUGACCAUCAGAAGCAGCGGCAGAUGAAGAGCAGAGUGGCUGUGACAUAUGUCUCCCAUUGUAAUAAAAAUAUCAAUACUUGCAGCUCCAAUUUGUUUUUUUAUGUGGCACCCAUCAUAAUCUGACACCCCACCCCCCGCACCAGUGGGAGAGGGAACCUUCAGUGUAGUGCCACAGAAAAUAUUACAGCCAGUGUUGUGCCUGGACGCGUUUUAGCGAACGCUGAACUGAACGAAUCAGUUUACAAAUGAUGAACUUCAUCGAGAGUGAACGCCGCUCACGUUUUACGACAGUUAAAGCUCACGUUUUACGACAGUUUUACGGCACACUGCAUAACGUCUCCAUAGCCACAGUCCAGUUUAGUGGUCCAGACGGUACCGACUCAACUACUACUGAUAACGCCAGUUGAAGCAGUUAUAUGAACAAACAAGUGAAGACUCAGACGGAUUAUAUUUAUAUACGGAUUGUUGGUCUGAGAUUCUUCAGUGGUGUACAUCUUACCGGAUGCGUCUUCUCCCUGAUGAAACCAUGGAUGUAAUAACACAAACACAGCUCGGUGAUACAUGUAGCAGUGGUGGACAGACUGACCUCUCACUACAACUGUUAGACCAACAGUGAAUCUGGACCCCCCCACCCCUGACUCUGCUCGCCGGUGGAUACAACGGGAAACACCAUAAAGAGAAAUACCUUCUGCUCUGAAGACACUCAAUCACAGCUGCAGAGGAAGCCCCUCAGUUAUUGGUUGAAAGCUGGGAUUGUCUUCCAGCUGCUCUUCCAGAGACAGUGAACACCUCCACCUGCAGUAUGAGCGAAUUAACAGACUUUCUCAGAGGCCAAAUAGUUGGUGCCCAGGUGGCAGGUCUGUCUGUCAGAGAAACUGCCCAGUUAUGUGAUGUGUCAGGUCGCACUGUCCUCAAAGUCAUGAGUGUUUACAACAUGCACGGAGACAUGGCAUUAGCAAAGAAGAACAGCAGGCGCAAGCCAAAGAGUAAAACGAAGAGGGCAAAAGCUGCAGUUACUGAAGGAGCUGCUACCGGGAAACCACUGUCUGACUCUGAGAAGGACACACCAAGACCUGAAGAGAGCGAGACACCUGCGUCUCAGACCAGAGACAAGGAAUAACGCUUCAGACUUUCUGUUACAUCUAGACUGAUUCAUGUUUGCGUAAAACCACAGCAUGCUUUCUUUUAGCCCACAAUUUUACUUACUUUGAAGAAGUUUCAUUUAUGUAUUUAGGUUUAAAACAUUUUUUGUCAGAAUUGAAAAUGUAGAUAGGAUAGAUAGAUAGAUUCUUUACUGUCAUUGCUUCAAAAUACACAACGAGAUCAAGUUUGGCAGCAUUUAUUAAAAAAAUCAUUAAAAUAUAUAAGUAUAUAAUAAAAUAAGAUAUGCAUUGGAUAUAACGAAACUGUCAAUAUUGCACAGUUAUAGCAGGAACAGUUCAUGAGGCAAUGUACAUUAGUUUAAACCAGUGCUUUUCUCUGUGAUGGUGCAGCUAGCAAAAGUUUUUGUCCAACUUGUUGUUGAAGGGGAAACACUAAUGGAAAAUAAUAUGAUGUCGUGGUAAUUUUUUCCUUUAACUGAGAAAGAAUUGAGGAUGAGGAGAAGCCUGGAAGGGGGUGAGAAUGACUCAGAGAGAAGUAAAGGUGUUAAAGUCAACCUGUUUUGUUAAUUCAAAAUCACAAAAAUGUUUCUGUGUUUGUGUUAUUGAUGGAUGUGUAUUGUGCAAUGAUUUCAAUAAGAGAAAACUUUUUCUUCUCCUCUGUUUCUGUCUUCCAUCCUUUUCCUGUGUUGAAUCACUGUUCUCACCAGGUGUGUAAACAUGUUCUGUGACCAUCAGACGUAGCAAAAGAUAAAGAAUGGAGUGACCUUAAAAACAGCCUUGAGAGUUGUAGCACUAUUUCCUCCUAAUUCAACAGUCUCCCACAGUAGAUGAAUCAGUAAUAAAUAAUCCUUAGUUGCAGCUUAGUCCCUGGCAGUCUGUCUUCUGUUGGAUCACUGUUUAGUCAAUCUGUGUAAUGACCAUCAGAAGCCGUGGCAGAUGAAGAGCAGAGUGACUGUGACAAAUGUAAAGCUGUUUCUUUAUAACUGAUAAGUCUCCCAUUCGUAAUUAUUCAAUAAUAAAUAUCAAUACUUGCAGCUCUAAUUUGUUUUUUUAUGUGGUGUCAUAGUCUGACACCCCACCCCAGCCUGCACCAGUGGGAGAGGGAACCUUCAGAGUAGUGCCACAGAAAAUAUUACAGCAAUGAUGUUUACUGCUCAGUUCUUUUACUAUUCAAAAAUCGCCAUUUCAGUGAUGAAGUGAGCUCUGUGGAGCAGAUGACAUAACGCUUUUAUUCUGAAAAAAUCUUACCGGAUGCGUGUUCUCCCUGAUGAAACACAAACACAGCUCGGUGAUAACAUGUAGCAGUGGUGGACAGACUGACCUCUCACUACAACUGUUGAUAGAAUGCAGCUCAGCCGUUGAUCAGUGGAUCUUUCCUGACCCUGGAUCUCUCUGCCCAUGCGUACACAAUAAUGGAAACACUAUAUGACAGAGGGCUCUGGAUCUCCUAGUUGCAGUCAUUACAGAGCCUGCUACCUGUUGGCUCCAAAAAAACACUUUUAAUAGAAGUGUUCAAAGCAAUAUGAGUGACUUAACAGAGUUUGAAAGAUGCCAAAUAGUUGCUGCACGACUUUCUGGUGCAUCUGUCACAAAAACUGCACAGCUCUUUAAUGUGGCCAGGGGAACAGUCUCCAGAGUUAUGACUGUAUAUAUCAAACAUGGAAGAACAGCAUCAGCAAAGAAGAACAGUGGGCGCAAGUCAAAGCUCACCGAAAAGGACAGACAGACACUUCUCAGGAUAGUUGAUGAACACCCUGAGUACACAGCCUCUAAGAUAACCUCCGAGUUGAACAGACACCUGUCUCACACCGUGUCAGUAAAAACUGUUCGACGCGAGCUUCACAAAGCUGGUAUUUUUAGAGGAGCAGCCAAUCGGAAAUCAGAGACUGAGACUGAUGGAAAGAACACUAAACCUGAAUGUGACACACAAAACCCCAGUGAAGAGAGCACAAGACCCGAAAUGCAAACUGAUGUCAAAGAGUGUGGUACACAACAGCCUGUGGGAGACAAAAUAAUAUCUGAACCCCAGGUUUGUGUGGAAGAGUCCAACACAGAAAAAUCUGAAGAUAGGAUACAACCUGAGCUCAUGUCAGCAAAGAAGAGCACAGCACACAAGCCUGGCGAAGAAAGCACAGGAGCUGAACCUCAGACCAGGGGAAAGUAAUUACAUGUCUGAUGUGUUGUACUUCAGCCUCUCUACAGCAUCUAGAUUGAUCAUGUGAGGGGAAAACCACAGAAUGCCUUCAUCCCUUAAUGUCUCCAACUAUGAGAUAUGCUCAUGGAUUUUUAAUAACAUUUGAGUUUCUAGAUUUGAUUAUUUAUUUGGCAUGAAUGCAUCAUAGUGCAGUAUUGAGGUUUUUACAUUUUUCCUGGUUUAAAAGCAAACAUUAUGACUUCACUUUAGACUGUUGUGAAAUAGCCAAAAUAAUCGACCACAGCUCUACUGCAGAUGUUUAACAGUAUUUUAUGUCAUCGUUUAAUGUGAAACACUCAAGUCUGUAAACAGAACCAAUUGCAAAAUUCAGGGUUCGUUUUCUAAUUUGUAGACCAAUGUCAUACUGAGAUGGCACUGCUAUUUUUCACCAUAUCUGAUUAUGUGAGUGGUACUGUAAAGCAAAGCCUUUUUGAGGUUAUACGUAUCAGAACUUGUGUAAUGGUUUGAAACCAAGUUGUAACUACAAUCCCGUAAGAGCCUUAAAAUAUACAGUAGUUCCUCUGCUGCCUCAAAAAGUCAUACUGCAUUGAAGUCAACAUAAAGCCCUCUGUUCACAGUUGAAAACCUUCAUAUUGUGUCUUCUAACAGGCUUUGGUAUUCAAAAACACAAUAUAUCAUGUUUAAUUAUGGCGAUAUUAAGGCUUGAAGAGAAGUGUGUGUUUUGAGGCUUGUUUCAAGGGUUUCUCUAGAUUUCAGAACGCACCUUCAGAAAACUGGGAGAGUGCAGAUGUGGAACUUCUGUCUACCUUUUAUAAAAAGUAAAAUGCGUCAUUCAUCUGUACAUAUUUAUUUUGCUGCAGUAGUAUGAUGAUAACUGAUGACUCCACCAUCAUGUAUUGAAUCUAAAUGAUCAAAUCCCCACCAAGCUUUUCUUUGUCUACUAAGUUUAUCACAUUUGUAUAGCUUGCAUGUACAUAGCUGUUGCAGGGGUGGGAGUGGGACGCAGCGCAUCAGACAGCACAUGUGAUGAUUGUACCGCAUAUUUAAACAAUACACUAAAAACUAUUAAAGGUGUCUGUACUUUCAAAACCACAUCAGCUAACAAAUAUAUGCUGUGUAAUACACCAUGCACUCGCUAAGUAUAUCUUUUUCAAAGGGUGAAUACUAACAAGUGGUUUCAAAUGAUUUCAUAAAAUCCUGCUGAAUCUUGUUUGAGAACUCUUGAGCCAGAGAGUUGUUCCUGUGUUUGUAUGAGCAUUCAAUAAAUCAUACAGCUAUAAUUACCAUC